GAUCCAGUGGAGAACGUGGCA
rnacentral:piRNA from 1 species